UCCUGCAUUUGAAAGUGAUUGUGGGCUGCCUGUGCCAUGGUCAUUGAUAGUGCAGGGAGAGGAAUCACUGAAAGACAUUUCCCCGUGUUUGGAGGGUCCACCCAAUGCCUUCCGAACCCUGGAACUUUCAUACA